rnacentral:misc_RNA from 1 species
GAUGAAGAACGCAGCGAAAUGCGAUAAGUAGUGUGAAUUGCAGAAUUCCGUGAAUCAUCGAAUCUUUGAACGCACAUUGCGCCCCUUGGUAUUCCAUGGGGCAUGCCUGUUCGAGCGUCAUUUGUACCUUCAAGCUUUGCUUGGUGUUGGGUGUUUGUCUCGCCUUUGCGUGUAGACUCGCCUUAAAAUAAUUGGCAGCCGGCGUAUUGAUUUCGGAGCGCAGUACAUCUCGCGCUUUGCACUCAUAACGACAGCGUCCAAAAGUACAUUUUACACUCUUGACCUCGGAUCAGGUAGGGAUACCCGCUGAACUUAAGCAUAUCAAUAAGCGGAGGA